AUCUGACGAAUACCAAAGGUUCACCGCUAUAGGAUGGGGACGCGUCUGAUUAGGUAGUCGGCGGGGUAACGGCCCACCGAGCCAACGAUCAGUAGGGGUUCUGAGAGGAAGGUCCCCCACAUUGGAACUGAGACACGGUCCAAACUCCUACGGGAGGCAGCAGUGAGGAAUAUUGGUCAAUGGGCGAGAGCCUGAACCAGCCAAGUAGCGUGCAGGAUGACGGCCCUAUGGGUUGUAAACUGCUUUUAUGCGGGGAUAAAGUGAGGGACGUGUCCCUUAUUGUAGGUACCGCAUGAAUAAGGACCGGCUAAUUCCGUGCCAGCAGCCGCGGUAAUACGGAAGGUCCGGGCGUUAUCCGGAUUUAUUGGGUUUAAAGGGAGCGCAGGCCGAUGGUUAAGCGUGACGUGAAAUGUAGCCGCUCAACGGCUGAACUGCGUCGCGAACUGGCUGUCUUGAGUGAGUUCGAUGUGGGCGGAAUUCGUGGUGUAGCGGUGAAAUGCUUAGAUAUCACGAAGAACUCCGAUUGCGAAGGCAGCCCACAAGGCCUUUACUGACGCUAAAGCUCGAAGGUGCGGGUAUC
rnacentral:rRNA from 1 species